ACGAACGCUGGCGGCGUGCUUAACACAUGCAAGUCGAACGGAAAGGCCCUGCUUGCAGGGUACUCGAGUGGCGAACGGGUGAGUAACACGUGGGUGAUCUGCCCUGCACUUCGGGAUAAGCCUGGGAAACUGGGUCUAAUACCGGAUAGGAGCCAUUUUUAGUGUGAUGGUUGGAAAGUUUUUUCGGUGUAGGAUGAGCUCGCGGCCUAUCAGCUUGUUGGUGGGGUAAUGGCCUACCAAGGCGGCGACGGGUAGCCGGCCUGAGAGGGUGGACGGCCACAUUGGGACUGAGAUACGGCCCAGACUCCUACGGGAGGCAGCAGUGGGGAAUAUUGCACAAUGGGCGCAAGCCUGAUGCAGCGACGCCGCGUGGGGGAUGACGGCCUUCGGGUUGUAAACGCCUUUCGCUAGGGACGAAGCUUUUUGUGACGGUACCUAGAGAAGAAGCACCGGCUAACUACAUG
rnacentral:rRNA from 1 species